rfam:Nematostella vectensis strain CH2 x CH6 NEMVEscaffold_452_Cont27651, whole genome shotgun sequence.
GUUGGGGAGGCCGAGUGGUUAAGUCGUUGGAAUAGAAAACCAAUGGGAUCUUCCCGCGCAGGCCCGAAUCCUGCCCGCAACG